GACGAACGCUGGCGGCGCGCCUAACACAUGCAAGUCGAACGGAGCUGAGAGAAGCUUGCUUUUCUUAGCUUAGUGGCGAACGGGUGAGUAACGCGUGAGUAGCCUGCCCUGGAGUGGGGGACAACAGUUGGAAACGACUGCUAAUACCGCAUAAGCCCACGAUCCGGCAUCGGAUUGAGGGAAAAGGAUUUAUUCGCUUCAGGAUGGACUCGCGUCCAAUUAGCUAGUUGGUGAGGUAACGGCCCACCAAGGCGACGAUUGGUAGCCGGACUGAGAGGUUGAACGGCCACAUUGGGACUGAGACACGGCCCAGACUCCUACGGGAGGCAGCAGUGGGGGAUAUUGCACAAUGGGGGAAACCCUGAUGCAGCGACGCCGCGUGGAGGAAGAAGGUUUUCGGAUUGUAAACUCCUGUCGUUAGGGACGAUAAUGACGGUACCUAACAAGAAAGCACCGGCUAACUACGUG
rnacentral:rRNA from 1 species